GAGAGGUGGAACGUGUUGUGGUGGAUGCACUGAGUGGCCUGAAGGGUGACCUGGCUGGACGUUACUAUAGGCUCAGUGAGAUGACAGAGGCUGAACAGCAGCAGCUUAUUGAUGACCACUUUCUGUUUGAUAAGCCUGUGUCCCCAUUGCUGACUGCAGCAGGAAUGGCUCGAGACUGGCCAGAUGCUCGUGGAAUUUGGCACAACAAUGAGAAGAGCUUCCUGAUCUGGGUGAAUGAGGAGGAUCAUACACGGGUGAUCUCCAUGGAGAAGGGUGGCAACAUGAAGAGAGUGUUUGAAAGAUUCUGCCGAGGCCUUAAAGAGGUUAGAGAAUAUUGUGUAGGGGAGCUAGGUGGGAGGACAUAAGGAAAACCAAAGACUAGCAUAAAUAGAUUUAUGUAAUUUAUCAACCAACCCAAGACAUGUCUGAUAGUAAAAAGGACUAUCUAGGACUCACUCUAGGACUAAAGGUAUAAACCAGCUGGGACCAUACUGGGAAAACCAGGACAUGUGGUCACCCUAAGAUGAGGAAAAGAGUGUCAGGAACCUUAGGAAGUGAAUAAGGCAGGUAAUGCAAAGACGGAAUAACUGAGAUGGCACGUCAGUGCCUGGGAUGUGUGCAGUGGGAUGGUGAGGUGUGUAGAUAAGGAAAACAUUCGAGCUUAGAUUGAUGUUGGCGGGGAGAGGUUGCUGUAUUCAUGACUCUAAUAUAACCACCCAGUUGUGAGCCAAGGUAGGCCUUGACUCUGGAUUCUAUCAUUCUUGUUAAAGUAUCGGGUCUAGGCUUUAAGUUGAGGGUUCGGAGGGAGACUGGGGAAGGUGGAGGAUAGAAUGGUUCGAGUUCUAGAAUAUGUGGCUCUAGAUGAGAGGUUGAACUGAAUCAUCAAUCCUACAUGGAUUGGGUCUCCGUAUUCAAGUCUACAUUAGAAAUCC
rnacentral:sRNA from 1 species